GGCCUGGUAGCCAAGCGGCAAGGCAGCGGUCUGCAAAACCGCGAUUCGGCGGUUCAAAUCCGCCCCAGGCCU
rnacentral:tRNA from 1 species